GAUGAACGCUGGCGGCGUGCCUAAUACAUGCAAGUCGAGCGAACGGACGAGAAGCUUGCUUCUCUGAUGUUAGCGGCGGACGGGUGAGUAACACGUGGAUAACCUACCUAUAAGACUGGGAUAACUUCGGGAAACCGGAGCUAAUACCGGAUAAUAUUUUGAACCGCAUGGUUCAAAAGUGAAAGACGGUCUUGCUGUCACUUAUAGAUGGAUCCGCGCUGCAUUAGCUAGUUGGCAAGGUAACGGCUUACCAAGGCAACGAUGCAUAGCCGACCUGAGAGGGUGAUCGGCCACACUGGAACUGAGACACGGUCCAGACUCCUACGGGAGGCAGCAGUAGGGAAUCUUCCGCAAUGGGCGAAAGCCUGACGGAGCAACGCCGCGUGAGUGAUGAAGGUCUUCGGAUCGUAAAACUCUGUUAUUAGGGAAGAACAUAUGUGUAAGUAACUGUGCACAUCUUGACGGUACCUAAUCAGAAAGCCACGGCUAACUACGUGCCAGCAGCCGCGGUAAUACGUAGGUGGCAAGCGUUAUCCGGAAUUAUUGGGCGAAAAGCGCGCGUAGGCGGUUUUUUAAGUCUGAUGUGAAAGCCCACGGCUCAACCGUGGAGGGUCAUUGGAAACUGGAAAACUUGAGUGCAGAAGAGGAAAGUGGAAUUCCAUGUGUAGCGGUGAAAUGCGCAGAGAUAUGGAGGAACACCAGUGGCGAAGGCGACUUUCUGGUCUGUAACUGACGCUGAUGUGCGAAAGCGUGGGGAUCAAACAGGAUUAGAUACCCUGGUAGUCCACGCCGUAAACGAUGAGUGCUAAGUGUUAGGGGGUUUCCGCCCCUUAGUGCUGCAGCUAACGCAUUAAGCACUCCGCCUGGGGAGUACGACCGCAAGGUUGAAACUCAAAGGAAUUGACGGGGACCCGCACAAGCGGUGGAGCAUGUGGUUUAAUUCGAAGCAACGCGAAGAACCUUACCAAAUCUUGACAUCCUUUGACAACUCUAGAGAUAGAGCCUUCCCCUUCGGGGGACAAAGUGACAGGUGGUGCAUGGUUGUCGUCAGCUCGUGUCAUGAGAUGUUGGGUUAAGUCCCGCAACGAGCGCAACCCUUAAGCUUAGUUGCCAUCAUUAAGUUGGGCACUCUAAGUUGACUGCCGGUGACAAACCGGAGGAAGGUGGGGAUGACGUCAAAUCAUCAUGCCCCUUAUGAUUUGGGCUACACACGUGCUACAAUGGACAAUACAAAGGGCAGCGAAACCGCGAGGUCAAGCAAAUCCCAUAAAGUUGUUCUCAGUUCGGAUUGUAGUCUGCAACUCGACUACAUGAAGCUGGAAUCGCUAGUAAUCGUAGAUCAGCAUGCUACGGUGAAUACGUUCCCGGGUCU
rnacentral:rRNA from 1 species